UGCAACUUGCCCCAUACAGGAGGAUAGGCUUUGGAAACGGAGAUUAAUACUCUAUGGUACUAUAAUAAGGCAUCUUAAUAUAGUUAAACAUUUAUGGGUAUGGGAUAGGCAUGCAUUAGAUUAGUUAGUUGGUGAGGUAAAGGCUUACCAAGGCGAUGAUCUAUAGGGGUCCUGAGAGGGAGGUCCCCCACACUGGUACUGAGACACGGACCAGACUCCUACGGGAGGCAGCAGUGAAGAAUAUUGGUCAAUGGGCGAGAGCCUGAACCAGCCAUUCCGCGUGUAGGAAUAAUCUCUUAUAGAGUGUAAACUACUUUUAUACAGGAGGAGAGUUAGUACGAGAUACUAAUGAGGACGUUACUGUAGGAAUAAGCAUCGGCUAACUCCGUGCCAGCAGCCGCGGUAAUACGGAGGAUGCGAACGUUAUCCGGAAUUAUUGGGUUUAAAGGGUCCGUAGGCGGAUUAAUAAGUCAGAGGUAAAAGGCAGUGGCUUAACCAUAUGUAAGCCUUUGAAACUGUUAAUCUUGAAUAGAAUCGACGUUAGGAGAAUGUGGCAAGUAGCGGUGAAAUGUGUAGAUAUGCCACAGAAUACCGGUAGU
rnacentral:rRNA from 1 species